GCUCGCGCUAGUUUUAGAGAAAACUGAUGUGGAAAACUCAGCCAGAAGCUAGCAAGUGUCAAGUGAAUCGACAACAUCACCACAAACGUCUUUUCAAGCCAGGUAAGUUACAAUCAUUUGAGAUACUAACUAAUGAGGUUAUAAGGUCACAAUUUAUUAUAUAGAUAGAUGCUUUAUAAGGUUUUAAAUAGGUUAUGUUAGCUAACAUUAGCUAUGUCGACUAAGUUAUCUAGUUAGGUUAGCUAGCUACUGUCGUAGUAGCUAGGUUAAACGUUUGUAGAUUACAAUUUUAAUGGUUUGGCAUAAUAAUAAGUAGUGUGAAAAUAUAUUUUGAAAUUUUCAUGGAUAAGAUUAGCAUAAUGUUUACUGUUAGAGAGUGGAGAGGAAGGGGAGGACAAAGACUGGAUAGGAAGAAGAGUGAAAGAGAGAGAGGAGGAAAGAUUGGAGAAGGAAAGAUUAAGGGAGUAAAAAGAGUGAAGCGAGGAGAGUGUGGAAGAGUGAGGUGGAAAGGUAAAGAGAAGGAAAGGAAAAAAGAGCAGGAAGAGGAGUGAAGAAAAGAGGAGGAGAAAGAUUGGAGGAGAAGAAAAAGUUAAGAGUAAGAAGAGUGACACAAGGAGAGUGAAGAAGAGCAGACAGAGGAGGUACAAUGGCUCAUUCCAAGAAACUGAAAUGCCAUUUUAAUGACAACAUGAGAAAAUGUCCAUUUAUACACUCCGGUCAAGACGAUAGAAUGGUGAACUGCACCCUUUGUAAUUCCUCUUUUUCAAUUGGCAGCGGGGGAAGAACGGCAGUGGUAGAACAUCAAUAGAC
ensembl:lncRNA